rnacentral:rRNA from 1 species
CCUACGGGUGGCAGCAGUGAGGAAUCUUGGUCAAUGGACGAGAGUCUGAACCAGCCAAGUAGCGUGAGGGAUGACUGCCCUAUGGGCUGUAAACUUUUUUUAUAAAGGAAUAAAACGAGGCACGUGUGCCUUUUUGCAUGUACUUUAUGUAUCAGGAUCGGCUAACCUCGUGCCAGCAGCCGCGGUAAUACGGAGGAUACGAGCGUUAUCCGGAUUUAUUGGGUUUAAAGGGAGCGUAGAUGGGUUGUUAAGUCAGUUGUGAAAGUUUGCGGCUCAACCGUAAAAUUGCAAUGGAUACUGGCAGACUUGAGUACAGAAGAGGUGGGCGGAAUUCGUGGUGUAGCGGUGAAAUGCGUAGAUAUAACGAAGAACCCCGAUGGCGAAGGCAGCUUACUAAUCUGUGACUGACAUUGAGGCUCGAAAGUGUGGGUAGCAAACAGGAUUAGAUACCCGAGUAGUC